rnacentral:misc_RNA from 1 species
CCAAUAGCGUAUAUUAAAGUUGUUGCAGUUAAAAAGCUCGUAGUUGAAUUUCGGGAUCGAAUUGUUGGUCGUGCUUCGGUACGCACUGGCAUUAUCGGUUCCUACCUUCUGAAGAACCGCGAUGUCAUUAAUUUGGUGUCGUGGGGAAUCAGGACUGUUACUUUGAAAAAAUUAGAGUGUUUAAAGCAGGCUUACGCUUGAAUACAUUAGCAUGGAAUAAUGAAAUAGGACGUUUGAUUCUAUUUUGUUGGUUUCUAGGAUCGACGUAAUGAUUAAUAGGGAUAGUUGGGGGCAUUAGUAUUCAAUUGUCAGAGGUGAAAUUCUUGGAUUUAUUGAAGACUAACUACUGCGAAAGCAUUUGCCAAGGAUGUUUUCAUUAAGCAAGAACGAAAGUUAGGUGAUCGAAGACGAUCAGAUACCGUCGUAGUCUUAACCAUAAACUAUGCCGACUAGGGAUCGGAUGAUGUUAAUUUUAUAAUGACUCAUUCGGCGCCUUAC